AGAUCCUGCAGAAGAUGCGGGGGUCCCCCUUGGUGUCUGCUGUGGGCGUCAGAAGGAAAGAAGCUCAUGCUCAGGACACAAGUACCCGGAUUUUGCACCAUGUGGAUGUACCACCGAGAGAAUGAUGAGCUAACAUUGGGCUGCGACGCCACCGUACCAGAAAGUGAUGCCUGAAGAUACUGGAGAAGCACAUCAAGGAAUGAAUGGAAGCAAACGUUUUCCGCUGACCUGAUGGACUGAGAGCGAAAGAAGGCGAGUUCCCAGUGAGGGUUUCCCGCUCGUGAGAGGAGCACGAGGUGAUGUCGUGGAGAGAGUGAGAUGCGACAGGGAGGGAGACAUGGCCCCGAAGCUGUGGGACGUGCCGCAGACACACUCGCGCCCACACAGACACGCCUGCACAUGUGCCCGAGGCGUGCACACGCGCACACACACACACUCGUGUGUACGAGUGCUCAGCAUCCAGGACGCGAUGCCUGGAACCGAGUCCCCUCUGAAGCGGGAGGGGAAGGCGUGCUUGUUCCGAAAGAGCAGCGUGGGAGUGACCGGCGCCAAUCAGAUCGGAGACCUUCCCACGUACUUGGUCAAAUUAAACGAAACCAGAGUCUUCAGCUUUACUGAGAUGCAAUUGGUGGGAAUUGUACAUGCGGAAGAGGUACCAGUGGAUUCUUUAUUGUUUUCGGUUUAGGGCCGCACAUGAGUCACUUGGAGGUUCCCAGGCUAGGGGUGGAAUCGGGGUGCAGCUGCCAGCCUGGGCCACAGCCACAACCCCUCUGGAUCUGGGACACAUGUGUGACCCACAGCACAGCUCACAGCAACGCGGGACCCUUAACCCACUGAGGGAGGCCAGGGAUGGAACACGAAGCCUCAUAGAUGCUCGUCAGGUUGGUUUCCGUUGAUCCCUAAUGGGAACUUCACCACGUUACACUUUGAUUCAUUUUUCAGUGUGAAAUCGUUACCACAGUCACAUAGUUCAUGUCUCUGUGUGUGUGUGUGUGUGUGUGUGUGUGUAUGUGAGUGUGAGUGAUGUUUUCUGACCCAUUCAUCUGCCGACAGCAGUCGAGGUGGUUUCCGUGGCUCGGCUCUGGCUGUCGUGAGGGAUACAGCAGUGGACAGGGAUGUGCAGGUGUCUCUCUGUGACGCUGAUGUCACCUGCUGGGGACAUAGAUCAAGAUGGGAAAUAGCUGCAUGUGGCCGGUCUGUCUCUCUCCUUCUCUUUGACAGAUGUUUGCGUUCCCACCAACCAUGCCCAAGGCCCUCUUUUCUGCACGUGUUUGUCAGCCUUGCUGCCCUGGGUCUUUUCCCACCAGCUGUUGUAACAGGUGCGAGGGGGUCUCUCCCCGUGUGUGUUUCAUGAUUUGCCCCGAGAGGAAGGAGGCCCCCAUUUAACACCUGUAUUUAUAUAUGCAUGGCGACUGCAGUUUGAGGUGGGAUCUCCCUUCCCAGAGCAGGGAUUGAACCUGGGGUCUGCGGGGAGAGCGCCGGGUCCUAAGCCCUAGACCGUCAGGGAACUCCCUCCCUCCCUGUGGUUUUGACCAGGGUUUCCCUGCUGGUCGGUGAGGGGCCACAGCUUUUCAGGGACUGUUUGGCCAUUUGGAUCUUCUUUUGAGAAACGUCUCUUCGGGUGUUUUGCCCCAUGAACAUCAGCUUGUUACUGCUUUGCAUGCAGUUGUGUGCUCCCCCUGUGUCUGGGGAGGUGACGGCUUGUCAGAGAGACGGUUUGCAGGGAUCUUCUUGCUUCUGCUCCUUCACGCUGUUGCCUGUUUCUUUUGUGUGCAGUCCCUUUCAUUUGAUGGGCUCCUCCUUGUCUCUUCACGUAUUUGUUGCUUGUGCUUUUGGGGUCGUAACCGAAAAGCCGUGUCCAAACUUGUGUCAGGAAGCUUUGCCAGGAGCGGGUUGAGGAUCUAGCGGUGUCCCCGCAGCUGCUGAAGCGGUUGCUGUGGUGCAGCAGGUUCCAUCUCUGGCUGGGGAACGUCCAUAUGUCACGGGUGUUGCAAAAAAAAAAAAAGAAAAAAAGAAAAAAAGAAAAAAAAAAAAGAAAAGAAGCAGAAGCUUUUCCAGUGUUUUGUUCUUGCACUUUUAUGGUGUCAGUCCUGUGUUUAAGUUUUUAAACCUUUUUUUUUUUUUUGCCAAGCCGAGGGCCUGCAGAAGCUCUGGGGCCAGGGAGCCAGUCCUUCCCCUGCUGCACCACCAGGGCGCUCGCCAUGGUUAAGUCCUGAACCCAUUCUGAGUGGGUUUUGUGUGUGGCAUGCGUCUGGGGCCCGUGCCAUCCUGUGUGUGGAUGUCUCGUGUCCCCACCAUCAUUUAUUUAUGGAAGGGCUGUCCUGCCCCGGUCGUGUGUUCUGGCACCCUGUCAAGGAUUAGCUCACGGCUUCUCGAAGACAAUUCUUUCGCCUCAUCCGUCAGGCAAGUCACAGGUUUCUGAUGUGCUUUGGUCCGUUGAUGGGGAUUUAUCCUGAGGCAUUGGCAGUGUCCUAUUUCCCUGAGUCUUCGUGUUUCUCGUUGCUUUGCUUUGGUGUCUGUGGGUUUGCCCAUCAGCCCGUUAGAGAUUCUGGAAGCUCUGAAAGAUUUUCUGUGGACGUGCCAACUCUGCUUUCCUCCCUCCUGGGGAGAAGAUGCCGAGUUGCUUGCCUUGGCCCCUCCCUCAGCCCUGCACCCCGUUUCCCUGAGGGAUGAUGGGGGAGGCUGAGGCAGGGGGCAAGCUCCCUGUUCCACCUACAGAUGAGGGCCCCUCCCCUCGUUCUUGCAGGUUGGCUGUGCCCCUGCUGAGAGUCCUGUCCCUUUUCCGAGUUCUUUGCUGCCCCCACGUGUGCCUGGAGCCCCGGCGCUCCCUGUGCUCUGAGUGGAGUGGCAGGCAGGUCUCUCAGGGGACACCUGAAUCCUGGGGGUGUCACCUGCAGCCUCACUCACUGUCCUCAGAGGGAGGGGGAAGCCUGGGCAGAGGGCGGGGGCCUCUCAGUGUGGAGCUGUGCCAGCCUCAGGGAGGGGUGCCAGGGCUAAAGUGAAGCUGCCUUUAUUCUCCAUUUCAAAGUGGUUUUUCUUGGGUUUUUGCUUUUCUGCAGUGCUGCAACUCAUCUGGACACUGGAGUUUGCAGGAAAGUUAAAUGGGCCAAAUAUCGUUGUUUUAUCAGCCUCUCUAACCGAAGGGUCUUUAAAAAGACCCUGUGCUGGCCCAGCUGGGCACACAGUCUUUGAGGUAUUCACGCAGGGUUUCCCAAGGGCAGACUCUUCAUUGGAGGGAAAUAAUGCCCCCUGUUCCACUGGAAGUAUGUCUCAUUGUGGUGUUUCUUUUUUUUUGUUUUAAAUCAAUUCUUGGGCUGCUCUUGCGGCACAUGGAGGUUCUCAGGCUAGGAGUCGAAUCUAUGCUGUAGCUGCCGGCCUAUGCCCGAGCCCAGCAACGUGGGAUCCGAGGCGCGUCUGCGACCCACACCACAGCUCAUAGCCAUGACAAAUCCUUCACCCACUGAGCAAGGCCAGGGAUCAAACCUGCAACCUCAUGGUUUUUAGUCGGAUUCAUUAACCACUGAAGAAUGAUGAUAACUCCUCAUUCUGGUUUUAUUUUUUUUUUUAAUACAUUUUUAGAGUUUAAAGUACAGUGUGUCCCAUUCUGAACAUGGUCUUGGUCCAAGGACAGACUCUGCUGCGUCUCUCUUGCGCCCUCUGAUGGCCACCCGGAGAGGGCUCUAGGCUGGGAGAAGAGGGCCUUUCAAGGCCCCCCCCCCCGCCCCAGUCCCCAGAGGGGACUUUUUUCCUGAGCUCCAGGUCCUUGUGUACCCCUGCCUCCUCUAUAUUUUCCCCCUCAGUUCAUUGUUUGCCAUUAGAUAUGCUCUUCUCUGCAGGCUCGUGGCCCUGUCUUCUGUCUGACCGAGGAAGCUCCUUUAGGACUAGAGCGCCAGGGGUUCUGCUGUGUUGGGUGGUUCCUCGUGAGUGGAGGUUGAUUGGGCCCCUCUCUGACUCAAGCAGGUGGUUUGUCUUUCCUGGAUUGUCAGUGCGGUGGUUUGAUUUCUGCAUAUCAAACCAGCCUUGCAUGCCUGGGAUAAGCUCCCCUUGGAUGUGGCAUAGCAUUUUGAAAAGACAGUGUAAAAUUUGAUUGGAAGGUCACGUUUAUGCUCUCGGGGGAGAAUGGCCUGCAGAUUUUGUUGUGUGUCUUGCGUUGUCUUUGUUUAGUUUUGUCAUUAGAGUGUGUCCUCGUAAAGUACAGAGCAUUUCCUCUUCAUUUGGUGUCUGGGAGAGAUUGUGCAGAAUUGUUGUUAUGGUUCUUACCUGUUUUCUAGAAUUUAAAGUCAAGGCUCUGAGGCCUGGCGUUCUCUUUGGGGAGAGUUUUAUCAAAUGAUGAAUUAAAUUUCUUGAAUGAGAGCUUGGCAAAUGCUUUCAAAAAGUCUGACAAGAAAAGUGUUAGUGAGUCUGGGACAGAUGGGUUUAGUGUACGUGUUUCUGGUUGUGUAAAUUAAGACCUUAAUUGAGAACUGUGUCAUUACCCAUUAGAGUUUCAGGUAUGUCGGUGCUACCCAACAGUUCCUUGCUAUGUCAAAAGUGGAAAAACAUGCAUGUAUAGAGAGUAGGAUAUUCCAAGGGUGUUUAUAGUAGCAAUACUUAUAAGUGCAACAGCUGUGGUAUAGGUCACAAGAUGCAGCUUGGAUCUGGCAUUGUUGUGGCUGUGGCGGAGGCUGGCAGCUGAAGCUCUGAUUUCAGUCUGGGAACAUCCAUGUGCUGUGGGUUCAGCCCCAAAAUGAAAAAUAAAUAAAUACUAGC
rnacentral:lncRNA from 1 species